rnacentral:rRNA from 1 species
CACAUGCAAGUCGAGCGCCCUACUUCGGUAGGGAGCGGCGGACGGGUGAGUAACGCGUGGGAACGUGCCCUUUAGUUCAGAGUAGCCACUGGAAACGGUGAGUAAUACUGAAUACGCCCUUCGGGGGAAAGAUUUAUCGCUAAAGGAUCGGCCCGCGUUGGAUUAGCUAGUUGGUGGGGUAAAGGCCUACCAAGGCAACGAUCUAUAGCUGGUCUGAGAGGAUGAUCAGCCACACUGGGACUGAGACACGGCCCAGACUCCUACGGGAGGCAGCAGUGGGGAAUAUUGGACAAUGGGGGCAACCCUGAUCCAGCCAUGCCGCGUGAGUGAAGAAGGCCCUAGGGUUGUAAAGCUCUUUCAGAUGUGAGGAUGAUGACAGUAGCAUCAGAAGAAGCACCGGCUAACUUCGUGCCAGCAGCCGCGGUAAUACGAAGGGUGCUAGCGUUGUUCGGAAUUACUGGGCGUAAAGGGCGUGUAGGCGGAUGAUCAAGCUAGAGGUGAAAGCCCAGGGCCUAACCCUGGAACUGCCUUUAGAACUGAUUGUCUAGAAUCCGUAAGGGGAGUGUGGAAUUCCUAGUGUAGAGGUGAAAUUCGUAGAUAUUAGGAAGAACACCAGUGGCGAAGGCGGCACUCUGGUACGGUAUUGACGCUGAGGCGCGAAAGCGUGGGGAGCAAGCAGGAUUAGAUACCCUGGUAGUCCACGCCGUAAACGAUGUCUGCUAGCCGUUUGGACACUUAGUGUCUGGGUGGCGCCGCUAACGCAUUAAGCAGACCGCCUGGGGAGUACGGUCGCAAGAUUAAAAC